rnacentral:rRNA from 1 species
GAUGAACGCUAGCUACAGGCUUAACACAUGCAAGUCGAGGGGCAGCAUCAUCAAAGCUUGCUUUGAUGGAUGGCGACCGGCGCACGGGUGAGUAACACGUAUCCAACCUGCCGACAACACUGGGAUAGCCUUUCGAAAGAAAGAUUAAUACCGGAUGGCAUAGUUUUCCCGCAUGGGAUAAUUAUUAAAGAAUUUCGGUUGUCGAUGGGGAUGCGUUCCAUUAGGCAGUUGGCGGGGUAACGGCCCACCAAACCAACGAUGGAUAGGGGUUCUGAGAGGAAGGUCCCCCACAUUGGAACUGAGACACGGUCCAAACUCCUACGGGAGGCAGCAGUGAGGAAUAUUGGUCAAUGGACGAGAGUCUGAACCAGCCAAGUAGCGUGAAGGAUGACUGCCCUAUGGGUUGUAAACUUCUUUUAUACGGGAAUAAAGUUAGCCACGUGUGGCUUUUUGUAUGUACCGUAUGAAUAAGGAUCGGCUAACUCCGUGCCAGCAGCCGCGGUAAUACGGAGGAUCCGAGCGUUAUCCGGAUUUAUUGGGUUUAAAGGGAGCGUAGGCGGGUUGUUAAGUCAGUUGUGAAAGUUUGCGGCUCAACCGUAAAAUUGCAGUUGAUACUGGCGACCUUGAGUGCAACAGAGGUAGGCGGAAUUCGUGGUGUAGCGGUGAAAUGCUUAGAUAUCACGAAGAACUCCGAUUGCGAAGGCAGCCUGCUAAGCUGCAACUGACAUUGAGGCUCGAAA